rnacentral:rRNA from 1 species
AGAGUUUGAUCCUGGCUCAGAACGAACGCUGGCGGCGUGCUUAACACAUGCAAGUCGAACGCGAAAGGGACUUCGGUCCUGAGUAAAGUGGCGCACGGGUGAGUAACGCGUGGAUAAUCUACCCAAUGAUCUGGGAUAACACUUCGAAAGGGGUGCUAAUACCGGAUAAGACCACGGGAUCUACGGGUUCUGCGGUAAAAGGUGGGGACCUUCGGGCCUACCGUCAUCGGAUGAGUCCGCGUACCAUUAGCUAGUUGGUAGGGUAAUGGCCUACCAAGGCAACGAUGGUUAGCUGGUCUGAGAGGAUGAUCAGCCACACUGGAACUGAGACACGGUCCAGACUCCUACGGGAGGCAGCAGUGGGGAAUUUUGCGCAAUGGGGGAAACCCUGACGCAGCAACGCCGCGUGAGUGAUGAAGGCCUUCGGGUCGUAAAGCUCUGUCAGAGGGGAAGAAAUGUAGGAGUGCUAAUAUCACUUUUACUUGACGGUACCCUCAAAGGAAGCACCGGCUAACUCCGUGCCAGCAGCCGCGGUAAUAC